AUAAUAUUUUAUUAAUUUCGGUUGGAUCGAGUCGGAUACGGUUUAUACAAUAUCGAGUUGAGUUGAAUUCAUGUAUUAAAAAAAAAAAAUCCGAUUGGAUCGAAUUCGAUUUUUAUGAUCAUAAAAUCGGGUCGGGUUUCAGACGAGCAAAAACCCAACAUGAUCCGUUGCCAACCUCAAAUCAUUUUUCACCAUUGCACGAUCUCUAGGACUACACAAACUGUGUUCAUAAUUGUCAUGUGUGAUCACUGUUUGUUACUUUUCUCACGUCAGGAUCUUGAGAUUGCAGUGCUAUUUACAGAGGGAAAGAGAUGAGAGACUCAUUUGAAUGUCUCAUGAAUGACUUAGAACUUGGAUUCUAGUCUUCCCUUUCCCUUCUUUCUGCAUCAAAUUCAUAAUACCUUUGAAUAUUCAUAUUUCUUGUUCCAAUGUUUGUGACGAUGGAGAGACAGGGAAUAUUAUGACAAUGAUGUGUCUGUAUUUUAUUGGUCAAGGAUCAUUGUCUUUAAAAAAAUAAAACCAACAAGAAAGGAAAAACUUGGAAACUACGAGAUCAAACCCAUUCUCCCCCCUAAAAAAAAAAGGAAAAGCCCGUUGGAAUGUUUUGGCUUUUUUUAUGUGGAAGUUGAAGGAAUUUAGGGUUUUGGAUCUGGAAGAGUGAAAAUGAAUAUAUUCAGAUUAGCAGGUGAUAUGACUCACCUGGCCGGCAUUCUCGUCUUGCUCCUCAAAAUCCACAGUAUCAAAUCUUGCGCAGGUAUUUCUUUGAAGACACAAGAACUUUAUGUGAUCGUUUUCUUUAGCUGUUACUUGGACAUUUUUACUGAUUUUAUAUCUCUUUACUACACUUUGAUGAAAUUGAUAUUUUUGGGAAGCUCGUUUUGGUCCAUGCAUAGCCAUAAGAUUGUUUGAAGGUCUUAGGAUAAAGACCAAUUCACUUUCCACCAUUAUUUUCUUCUAUUCCCUUGCCUGCUCUUGGCUCUUCUCAUUAAUGAGAAAUUCACCUUCAAGGAGGUCUCUUAUUUGUUUAUUUUUUUUCACUGUCUUUUUCAAUUAUGGUUCAUUUUAUAUUUUUAUUUUGAUUCAUGGAAGAUGUGUUUCGAGGUAAUGUGGACUUUUUCUUUGUAUCUAGAAGCUGUUGCCAUACUCCAUCAGCUUGUACUCUUGCAAAGGACUAGAAACAUUGACAACUUGACAGGCCAAUAUGUAUUUCUUCUUGGGUAUGCUUUAAAUUUUUCCUAUGUUCCUAAACUAAUAAUGUUUGUUUAAUUACUUGACAAUAUCUUAGAUCUUGUACUUUGUUGGUUCAUUUUAGAUUAGUGCAUUUGUUGUUUGAAUUGGUUCUACAUUAUGUUUUAACUUUUAAUUAUAUAUUAAGCAUAAUUUCUUUUCAAUAAACAAUCUGUUGUUUGAACACGAGACUUUUCCAUUGAUAGUCUCAGCAUCAAAACUGUAGGCUUUCAUUUGCAUCACAUUUUAGAUUCUUAAUCAUUGCUGUUCUUUAGGAUUCAGUGAAGUUUAUUAUCUUUUUGAGUUCAGUGAAGUUUAUGUUUGAAGCGUACAAGAGAUAAUGAUUAGGGAUUUUUGCUGCUUAUAAGAUGAUACUGUUACUUUUAGGAUUAGAUAUUCUAUGUGCCAGAGGCCCAAAAGAGAAGAAUAAUAGGCCUGAAUUAGACAGUUAUAGCCUUCAAUGAAGAGAGCUAGAGGAAAGGAUUUUUUGGCAAACUAAAAAUGGAAAUUUUAAGCUGUUCUGCUUAUGAUUCCAAAUGCACUGGAAGCAUCUGUAUGCAGUAUGGUAGCAAAAAAACAAUGCAUCAUUAACCGUAAUAUGAAAUUUCCUAAUGAAGAAAAAUGAGGCACUCGUGUUUGAAUAUUUUUUUGAUGAUGUCUUCCUAGAUUUGUACAGGACUAUGAAUUUUCCUUUUGCUAAGUAGAUGUACAUGUUUAUGCGUGUAAUGGACAGAUUUGCCUAUAUUUCUCUCUUUUAUUGCACUGCAUAUAGAUUGUUACACAUCCUUAACUGGAUUGGAUUGAUACUUCACUGAACCGCACUAUGUCAAGUCUUUCUCUCUUAGAGCAUGUAUUGCUUUGGAUUCCCUACAGGCUACAUUCAUCACACGUGUAUAAACUGGUUUAUCAUAUACCUUUUAAACUCUUUCUUUGGAAAGGCUGCAAAGAGGUUCUUUCUUCUCUUUCCUUUUCCUUCCUCUUUAAACUUUGAAACGUGGGUAGGAGAGGUGAGCAAUGCUGACAAUUCAUCUCUUUGCAGAUGUUUUUAGAGCCAUGUGCCUCCACAUCUAGUUGAUACAUAGCCGAAUAUUUGAAUUGGAUCUAUUUAAGCUCAGCAUCACAGCAUUUUUUUUUUUUUAUUGUUGAUUGUUAGGAUUUCUAGAUUCUCUUUGUCUGCCAAUGGUGGUUGUUACAGCAUUAAAAAAAUUAAAAUUUAGAAUGUUGCUAUGAUAUGGAGAUGAUGUCUGUAGCAUAUUGCAUAUGUUGAUAUGGUCACUCCUUUGUUGUACAUAAUGAUUUUCAUCUCUUGGUAUCUAGUACUAGAUAUAACUGUAGUAGUAACUCAAGAAGCAUUUGGGGUUGCAUAAUUUGUGAAUUGCUUCACUUGGCUCUGGACCCAGUCUUUUUUCCCUGCCUCGCGCAACAGACAGGGUGGUGAUCAUGGAGUUAAAUUGGCAAACGUCAUUAGCAUCUUCCUGGUGAUGUUGGUUAGUUACAGCAACACAACAUAUUGUAUAGUACUAGCUUUGACAUUCUCGGGAGUCAAGAGGGUACGAUGUUCAUCUGAUUCCCUUGGGCUUUUGCUUAUAUGUAUUCAAUAACUUUUGGAAGGAAUCUUCUGGUUGGCUUGUAGAUCUGUUUGCAUCUCAUAAGUUAUUGCUUGGUUUAUGAAUGGUUGGAAUUGAUGACCAACUUUAUCGAGCUGAAUGAAGCUAAUUCUAGAAAACUUAAUUAUUUUGAAUACUAUCUUGUGUGCGUGGGCUUUUGCCUUUCUUGAUAUACUCGCUUGUGUGCUUCUGUAGACUUUGCUUCUUACAUAAUUUCUUUUUCAUCGAUUCUUUUAUGGUUCUUGCAGCUUGGAUUUCUGGUUUCCUUCAGACACUCCUUUAUACCGACUUAUUCUACUAUUAUUUUGACAGGUCAAAGUCUAAAAUUUUGAUAUAUGGGAGUUAUGCUUGUUUCCGUUAAAUCUGAAUCAAUCUCUUUUAUAUUUUGUGCUUCUUGCUGGUUGCUGCUGGAAGACCAACAAAAAGCUUUAGUUACCAGCAUGGGUUCCCUAUGCUUCACGACAUGCAAAGAAUUCCCACGAUCCCAGCAGUGUAUGGGAUAUAUUAAUUUCUAAACAAGUAGCUAAACUUCUUGGUGAAUUUUGUUUUUGAUAUUGUCAUCCCGUUUUACACGUCAUUUGGGGAUGUAUAAAGAUUAUAACUGAAUAUUAUUAGUUGCUGUGUUCUUCGAUGCUGAUGUAAAAAUCAACUUUGAUUUCUCAAUUGUUGUACUUGAUUUUGCCAAAUCAAGCAUUCGUGUCGCCUGAUUGGAGCCCUUACUUUUAAGGCGAACUUUCCAGAACUUAAAUAACCACAUUAGUUUGCUGCCUAUGACUUGCAAUUAACUUCCCGGUCACAGCAUUAUUUGAACCUACAUCAUCUCCAUAAGAUAUAAUAUUCUUUUAAAGUCGGUUUAAGUAGGCGUACUGAUCU